GUGGGGAAUUUUGGACAAUGGGCGCAAGCCUGAUCCAGCAAUGCCGCGUGUGUGAAGAAGGCCUUCGGGUUGUAAAGCACUUUUGUCCGGAAAGAAAUCUCCUGGGUUAAUACCUCGGGGGGGUGACGGUACCGGAAGAAUAAGCACCGGCUAACUACGUGCCAGCAGCCGCGGUAAUACGUAGGGUGCGAGCGUUAAUCGGAAUUACUGGGCGUAAAGCGUGCGCAGGCGGCUCUGCAAGACAGAUGUGAAAGCCCCGGGCUCAACCUGGGAACUGCAUUUGUGACUGCAAGGCUAGAGGGCGUCAGAGGGAGGUGGAAUUCCGCGUGUAGCAGUGAAAUGCGUAGAGAUGCGGAGGAACACCGAUGGCGAAGGCAGCCUCCUGGGAUGACACUGACGCUCAUGCACGAAAGCGUGGGGAGCAAACAGGAUUAGAAACCCGUGUAGUCC
rnacentral:rRNA from 1 species